rnacentral:rRNA from 1 species
GACAGAGGUGCCAAGCGUUAGGCGGAGUCACUGGGCUUAAAGCGUGUGUAGGCGGAAUGGUAAGUACCUUGUGAAAUCCCACGGCUCAACCGUGGAACUGCUGGGUACACUGCCCUUCUUGAGCCACUUAGGGGCUGUCGGAACAAACGGUGGAGCGGUGAAAUGCGUAGACAUCGUUUGGAACGCCAAUGGUGAAAACAGACAGCUGGGAGUGUGCUGACGCUGAGACACGAAAGCCAGGGGAGCGAACGGG